AAAAUUUGGUCCCUAAAAGAAUUUGUAACCGAUCCCAAAUUGUAAUUCAAAACCUUGAGUGGGAAAUAAUACCGCCAAAAUUUGAUAUUAAAUUUUAAUAAUAUUUUUUAUUUCACUAAAUAUAUAUAUUAUGCGCAAACUUAAAUUUAUAACUUUUAUGAAAUGCAAAACCCUCUGUUUUCCUCAAACUAACAUAGCUACCUGGUCGCAAUUUUUAACCCUAGCAUUAUCGGGUAUAUAAACAAUGAAACAGUGAGGAAUGCGUAGCUUUUCCAAUUGUAUGUAGCUUUGUCAAUUGUAGAAGAGUUUAUUCUCCACUGUUGUGUCUUCUUCCUUGGGUUACUGCAUAUUUUCCCUAAUCUCUAUUCAUCUCUGUUGAACGAGAAUCAAGGUGCCUUUGGCCGUGUUCUCAUCAUGCUUUGCCUCCGAGCCACAUCCCAUGCCUUUUGAGGUGCCUAGAACCAGCCUGAGAUGCAAAAAAUUACUCAGAGCCAGGUGAUUCAAAGGAGAAACCAGUAUGCUAUUAUUUCUAUCCAAGAAGUUGUAUUAUGACAGUUACUAAUCUCUAAUAAAUCAAUCCUUCUAUUGUCAAUCUCGUGCUUGUGUAUUUCCUAAAUACUCUAAUAAUCAAAUGCAAAAACCAUCUUUGUACCCUAAAACAAAGCAACUAGUAGCGUUCACGUGAGCUACUUUGGUGUUCACCAGGUGAGUUGCAAGCUUCUGCCAUAAAGAUGGUAUUAGACUCUCCAUGUCCUUCCCAUUUGUGAAAGAAAUUAGACUAGAAAGGGUUUAUUUUAAAAGAGUCAAGUAGGCUGUACUGCCUAGGGACUUGUAAGUCUAUGUUCUAUGCAGCGUAAAGAAGAACAAACAAUAGAAAGUAGAUCGAUGUUGGAAAUGCGAGAUGAUUUUAACCACAACAAUAAGGCUAUUUCUUAUGUAGAACAGUUUAAAAAUAGCAGGUUUGUAGAGUCAGUUUUAGAUGUUUACUGGGUGCUUCCACCUGUGGUUGGUCCUUCAUUAACUCUUCAGACAAGAUAUGAUCCAGCUCAUGCAUCAAGUCCUAUUGUUGAAGAUGGCAGGAUAGCUUGUUUCUGAGGCUUAGUUUAUCUAGACUGGAGGCAUCUGUAUUCAAUUGUUACACUCAAAUGGUCUAUCUUCAGGUGUCAUAAGAAUGAGAUUUUUUGUUGCCGCUAUUUAUAGGUUUUAGUUUGAGCCUCAGAUAUGGUUCAUUGUUGGUCAAAUUAAACUUGAUGGCCAAAUAUUGCUCUUUUCAGCUGCUAUUCCCUGCAAAGUUAAAAAGCUUGCCAGAGAAAUAUUGACAGAUCCUGUGAGAGUUACUUUUGUGACAUUGGCAUAGCUAAUGAGGACAUUACAUAAAUAAUUUAAGUGAUUCCUACAUAAAAGCUUCCUGGACUGAUUGAGAAUGGUGAUGUUCUUUUCUUUGCUUAAAAAAAGGAAACAGUAGAUGAGACUGAAUCCCAAUUGGCUCAUAAGGGAUUUAGAUUAUAGCUCUCCAUGGUGACAAGUAUCAAGUUUCUCGUACAGAGAUACUGCAAAAAUUUAAAUCUGGCAUAUAUCACGUUCUUAUUGCAACUGAUGUUUCUGCUGUAGUCUUGACAUCAAAUCCCUUAAGUCAGUGGUGAACUAUGACAUAGCUAAAGAUAUGGACAUGAAUGUUCACCGAAUUAGGAGAACAGGUCGAGCCUGUGACAAAGAUGGGACAACCUACACUCUUAUUACUCAUAAGUUACAUGGAAGCACGCUUUACUGGUGAACAGGAAAACAGUUUGGUUGCUGCUGGUCAAAAUGUGUCCAUGGAACUAAUGGACCAUUCCAUGAAGGAUGGGAGGUUCCGGUCCAAAAGGGAUGCAAGAAAAAGAGGCAGAGAAGGGCCAAAGGAAGGGGAGGAGGAAGCAAUAGAGGUGUACGAGGUGUGGAUUUUGAUCUAGGUAUUGGAUACAAUCCUGAAUCAAAUAACCCUCCCCAGAGCGCUGCUCUGAGCCGUUUUGCUACUGUUAAUUCCCUGAAGACAGGCACGAUGACACAAUUUAAAAGUAACUUUGUUGCUGCAUCAUCAAAUUCUCAAAAUCAGGGGACUAAUAAUAAGGUAAUUGAAUUUGUCACAAGUAUUUUUCCCUUGUUACCUAUUUGAUAAAUCUUAUGCUUGAGCAAACAAAAUAGAGCAACCCCAGAAAGGAGAAAAUACUGCAGAACAUAUUAUGGGUGCUCUUUUAAACUUCCGCUUACCUGGAAAAACUGAAAAACAUUUUAGUAAACUACUGUAGUAGAUGGAUUACAUUGGAAAGCUAGUGUACAACAAAUUAAUGUAGUUACUUAACUCUUGAGUGGGCAAACUAAAGCACAACUUCUAAUUGGUAGUCUGGUAUUUAUUUUCUUGGUUCAAGUUCAUAAGUCAUAUUAACUUGGCUAAAGUCUCCCAUAAAGCACCUCUAAAUUAUUCUUUGGGUUGGUUUUAGGCCUAUUUUCAGCCAAUUCUUCCAUAAAAUUUGUGCGUUAGUCAAGUGUAGUAGGAUUUCAAAUAUGCUUGAAUUAAAAACUUAGUAUCAAAUACAGUUUAGGAAUUUUUUCAUUGCAUCCUUUCAGUUUUGUGCAAUGAUUAUAUAUUGAAAUUUUCAAACGGGUGACGCUGUUUUCCAUUCCUAAACUCCAGGUGGAGUUCGUGAUAACCAUAGAGAUCUUCUCAAGAAGGUUGAACAAAAGUAUAGAUAUUAGGGAAACUGUGUUUUGUUAGGGGAACACAUUGGUUUUUUGGAUGCAAAAGAAAUGGUUGGUUUGGAAACAGAACAACAUAAAAUUUCAAGUGCCAGGAAUACACACAAAUGACAUUAUUAUGCAGUUAAGUUGUUAUUUUUGCUAAGUUCAAGUAUGAUUGUCCCAGACCGUAUGAUCUAAACCUAUUUUAUAGUGGACGAUGAAUUACUUGGUAUGGUAAAACUAAAUUAUUAGGUAAUUUUAAGUAAGACUUUUCAUUGUUACCUUUCAUUCUUGAAAAGCAAACACCUGAUGUAACACUAAAUUAGACAAGCCACUGGAAAAUAAAAUUAAAUAGUCCAAUAUAGAAGACAGAGUCUUAUUGAGUGUCGCAAAGGUCUUACCAGAUUCCUUAUCACCAAGGAGGCGAAGAUAAGAGGAGAACUGUAUGAGGUUUGAUAUCUGUGGACUAUCAAUUCUGAAGAUAAGAGUUUGAAAGUUAAUAUGCAGAUUAUGACUUAAUGUGGUUUCCCAGAUUCUUGAAAGUUCUUGAAACCUUAUGAUAUGUGUUAACUAUAUACUUAAUAUGUUCCCAGAUUCUCUAACCCAUUGUGUUUCCUCUGUAUAUAAGCUUUUCUAAUUAAAACUUUCUUAUAUUAUUGUAGCUUGGUGAUAUUUCUAGAUAAGUGAUGAAUUUAUGACUUCUUUUACGGUGAACGCUUUAACUAAUUCUAAUGCAAAUAAAUAAAUAAAGCUCCAUUAGUUAGAUGGAGCUCCAUCAAAAGAUGGUGUCAAUGAAUGAUUGUGGUGUUAUUGUCUUCCUGUUCUAUAUUUGGUGGACUAGAGGCCAUUUCAACGUUACCAAGUGCCUACAAGUAUGUUAAAAUAUGAAAGCAUGACAUAGGCAAUUAGAGUAAUGUCUAAUGAGUUAUCUGGGACAAAAUAAAAGUUUAGAAAUUGAAAGGUCAGUCCUAAACGAAGCCUCUAUUUCCUAUCCAAAACUUUCUACUUCAAACAAUAGUAUACAUUACUUUUGUAGAAGCUAAAAAAUUAGUCUAUUCAUUUCCUUAUGUGAUACAAAUUUACUCCAUCGGUAAGCUCGUAUAAAACUAAGCAUAGAUAUUAACUAAACAAAGUCCUGCACAACUCACCAAGGUAUAGGCAUAUGCAAUUGUACUCUCCAAAGUAUAUGGAAAUGUACUCACCAAAGUAUAUUCAACUGUACUCUCCAACUCUGUACUCUCCAACUCUUGGAUUCUUACAUAUGCAAGUUUAGAAGAUGCACAAGCUCAUUAUUAUUUUGCUAAGAACGUUAUGUAAAGCUUGACAUCAUAUUCUAGCUUGGGAUGUUAAUUGGUUAAGUCUUGUUAAUUGGUUAAGUCUUUUUUGUUUAGCAAAUAUUGAAACUAUAUGUAUUAUCUUUUGACAUUUUUAGUAGCAAUUUUAUAUUAAUAAUGAAAUAUAUACUUAUAUGAUAUGAAGUUUCAGGACAUACAAUUGUUGGUAAAUUAGAUACAUGAAUAUAAUAUUAUUUGAUCUCAAACAUUAAUCUAGGACGAGUUAAUUAUUCGUCUCUAAAGGUUAAUCAAGAAUGAGUUAGUUCCUCGUCUCUAAAGGUCAACUUAGGAUGAGGAAUUCGCUCCUUUCUAGAGAUUAAUCUAGGAUGAGUUAGAUGCUCGUCGUUAUAGAUUAAUUUAGGACAAGGUAGUUACUCAUCAUAAAAAUUAUGUAGCAAUAAGAAAAUAACUACUUUUUAAAGAUGAAAAUCAUCCCUAUACAGUCUCUAAAAGUAUUUUUGAGACCAGAAAUGUUACCAUCCUUAAUGACAUUUAACAACCAACUACAGUACCUCAUUGCAAUAGACCUUUAGCGAAAGAGGCUAUAAGGACAAAACACGACUAAUAUUUUUGCAUCCUAAAUGAUCAUCCGUGAUUAGAAUUGCACUUUUAAGGAUGAGAAUUCCCUUCCCUAGAGGCUGUUUUUCUUGUAGUGCCAAUGAGAUCAACUUGACAAGCACCUAGCUCAAGCUAGUAAUGCUAGUUUCCACGAUUGAACUCUAAAUAACUUAAUAAAGUACAAACGUAUUUGGAAUUCACUUUGAACAUUGUAAACACAUACUUUAACACUCAGAUUCAUAUUUAUCUUAUUAUCAACCUAUAGAACACGAAUCAUCCUCAAAACAAGGCUAAAAAGACUAGAAAAGUGACACUGAAAUACAUAAAUACACCCAACAUCAAGGAUUGAUUUGGAUCUUGUCUUGGUGAUUUCUUUUAAUCAUCAUCUUGAUUUAAGGAAUGUUAUCUUCCCUCAUUGUUAAUUCUUACUAGUGGCAUGGUUUUUACGAAUAUUUUCAUGACUUCAUAGAUUGUAUAAUUUUGGUUUUCAAAUAUGAAUUGGGUGUUUUGAUAUUAAAUGGUUGGUUUUGAUAUUAAUUAUGUUGGUGGUUUUGGAUAAUUGGAUUGCAUGGGAAUGGUUUAAUACUAAUUAGAAUUAGUUUUGGUUAUAUUAUGCCCUCAAUAUGUUUGACAAAAUGCCUAUAAUAAUGUGUUCAUUGCAUGAGUACCUUUAAUGGAACUCUUACUUGUUUUAAAACUUGGUAAAGGAAUUAUGCAUGGUUUAAAUGGCUUGGAAAGGUAAAUGGAUAAAUGGUUAUGCUUGUGGGGUACAUGGAAUCCCCCAAGUGGUUUAAUAUUAUAAAUGGAAGGGCACUUGAAAGUUUCCUUAAACCUAUAUGUGGUUGGCUAUGGAUAGUACUUGCAAAUAUGGUCGGUAUGACGAUACCAUCACUAAAUGAACUUGGUUAAUAAAUGGUAAAUGGAUUGGUUGGUUUCUUAGUAAUGGUUUUAAUUGGGAAAUAAUGGCAGAAUGUGUAGCAAAGUCAUGGAAGGUGGAGGUCUCGGAGGGACCAAAACUGGAAACUUAUAUUUGCCGAUAUGAGGUUGUUCUUGGUGAUCAUGUGUAUGAUGUCACACUAUAUUUUGGGGGAUAUACUAUUCAUCCCAGGUUUUCUUCCUUGGUCGUGCAGCUUUAUGCACUAGGGCCCUUUUAGUAGGAGAGCUGAACCCAUAUAGCCCAUGGGUAGUUUAGGUUGAUAAAGCUACACAACCCAGGUAAAGGUUUUAAAGGCAUGCUAAACCCAAUCCCAUUUCUCGGUAUGGUUAUAUAUAUAUAUGUAUGGUUGUAUGCAUAUGGAUGGUUUUACUUUUUUUUAUAAAUGGCAUUAUUUUAUCCUUAUUCAAAGAUCAUGCUAGCGUUCACCUGCUAACCCAUCUACUGGCGGCUGUAUACCUACACUGUGCAAGAAUCAACCGUUCUACUCAUCCUAUAUAGUGAUUGACUCAGGAAUCAACAUUUGGACUGAAGUGGUGAGCUUCCAUCUUUUCAGAAGACUCUAUUUCAUGUUAUGGAUAUUUCUAGACAGUUUGAUUUUAUUUUGGAUAUUGGUUUUGUCCAUGAUUGGGGGCAUGUCCUAAUCAAAUUUUAUUUCUCUUUUGGUUAGAAAAUUUAUGGUACUACUAUGGAUUGUAAUAGGCAAGAUCGGUAUUGGUGUCGGCCUUGGUAUUGGGAAAAGUUGAAGGGCUGACAUCAUUGGACAA